CUGUUCCACGUGUGCAUGUAUGUAUGUAUGUACGCGCGUUCGUCUCUUGUCUCUGUACCGACGACGAUGACCGCGAGUCGUGCAGCUUUCGUUUCGACAGCGUAGUCCGUGAACCGGUGUCCCGUAGCGACUUCGUCGUGACUGCCUCGGAGAACGUCUAGUACUGCCUUUGCUUGAUUGACGGACGUCGAGGGCGAAACAGAGCGAAGGUGCUGCAAUGCGCUGCCUUGCCACGACAGCACAAGAGGCUCAUCCACGAUCGCCGCGCGAGGAGAAAAAAAUUUGCUGCGGAAGAACUGAUCGUGCGUUUUCAUGCACUACAGUCGCUACAGUUCGACAUGGUUAACUUGCACCAAGUCGUCCAAUGUUCGGCUUUGAGAGCAACACACUAGGAUGACUGAAGGACGUAACACUUCUGGACGGGAAUUACAUGUUCAAGAAUUGUUUUGAAAUGUACAAGGAAGAUAUUGGCAUUCUCCUUGCAGCCAUCAGCUGUUCAACAUCUGCGAGCUGCAAAGGCUCUCCUGUAUGACAAGGAAGCAGUAGACGCGGCAUUCGCAAUGCUCAUUUUAUGUGCUUCCAAGGGAUGCGGCCAAAGGACGACCUGCAGAUGUGCGAGUCACGUUUAUGGGAGCUGCAAAAAAGAAUUAAAGUGUAUCCCCAGUG